UGGGGAAUAUUGGACAAUGGACGAAAGCCUGAUCCAGCCAUGCCGCGUGUGUGAAGAAGGUCUUCGGAUUGUAAAGCACUUUAAGUUGGGAGGAAGGGCAGUAAGCGAAUACCUUGCUGUUUUGACGUUACCGACAGAAUAAGCACCGGCUAACUCUGUGCCAGCAGCCGCGGUAAUACAGAGGGUGCAAGCGUUAAUCGGAAUUACUGGGCGUAAAGCGCGCGUAGGUGGUUCGUUAAGUUGAAUGUGAAAGCCCCGGGCUCAACCUGGGAACUGCAUCCAAAACUGGCGAGCUAGAGUAGGGCAGAGGGUGGUGGAAUUUCCUGUGUAGCGGUGAAAUGCGUAGAUAUAGGAAGGAACACCAGUGGCGAAGGCGACCACCUGGGCUCAUACUGACACUGAGGUGCGAAAGCGUGGGGAGCAAACAGG
rnacentral:rRNA from 1 species